CCAGACUCCUACGGGAGGCAGCAGUGGGGAAUAUUGCACAAUGGGGGAAACCCUGAUGCAGCGACGCCGCGUGAGUGAAGAAGUAUUUCGGUAUGUAAAGCUCUAUCAGCAGGGAAGAAAAUGACGGUACCUGACUAAGAAGCCCCGGCUAGCUACGUGCCAGCAGCCGCGGUAAUACGUAGGGGGCAAGCGUUAUCCGGAUUUACUGGGUGUAAAGGGAGCGUAGACGGCAUGGCAAGUCAGAUGUGAAAGCCCGGGGCUCAACCCCGGGACUGCAUUUGAAACUGUCAGGCUGGAGUGCAGGAGAGGUAAGUGGAAUUCCUAGUGUAGCGGUGAAAUGCGUAGAUAUUAGGAGGAACACCAGUGGCGAAGGCGGCCUGCUGGACGAUGACUGACGCUGAGGCUCGAAAGCGUGGGGAGCAAACAGGAUUAGAUACCCGUGUACA
rnacentral:rRNA from 1 species